rnacentral:tRNA from 1 species
AUUAUUUUGGCAGAUAAGUGCAUUAAAUUUAGAAUUUAAUAAAGAUAUAUUAAUUAUAUAAAUAAUA